CAGGAUGUGAGGAGCUCCUUUCUCUGCCACAUGUUUCUAUCACCAGGAAUUCCAUCAUGCUGGCUCCACUAGGCUGAGCUGAAAUGAGUGGGGUUUCAAUUGUCAUCUCACACAUGAUGGUUAAGCUAUGCCUACACCCAGAAGCUCCUGCAUACCCCAUCACCGUUCAUCUCCUUCAAUCGCUUGUACUGAUGAUGAUCAUGGCACUGGAAGACACUCUGCAUGCUAUCAGAGGAGAAUGCUAACGACCAACCCAAUCAAAACCUCUUCAGUCUACAGCGGUGACCUGCCUGAAUAUGCUGCUGCAAUAGUGACACAAAGGUAGUAUGUGUAACCAAUCACCCUUUGAUAGGAUGUAAGGCCCACCCCAUGAAAUGGAGCCCAUGCCUGACACUGCUUGGGACUGGAUAGGCCUUGGACCUAGGGGAUAGCCAAGUAACUAUUCUGCUAAAGGAACAUAGCAAUAAAAUGACUCCAAAUGACA